rnacentral:sRNA from 1 species
UGAGCAGGCUGGGAGACUGAAUUUCUUUAUUCACAGAAGAGAUUCAGCAGAGGCAGUGACAAUGCUCACUUCCCCUAGAUGGUUCUUUCAAAGUGCCUUCAUGCUCUGUCACCGUCUCUGAGACGUUAAAGGGCAGAUCAGUCACAAUGUUUCCUGAUUCCUUGCCCUU